UACGUAGGGUGCAAGCGUUGUCCGGAAUUAUUGGGCGUAAAGAGCUCGUGGCGGUUUGUCGCGUCUGCUGUGAAAACUCGGGGCUUAACCCCGGGCCUGCAGUGGGUACGGGCAGACUAGAGUGCGGUAGGGGAGACUGGAAUUCCUGGUGUAGCGGUGAAAUGCGCAGAUAUCAGGAGGAACACCGGUGGCGAAGGCGGGUCUCUGGGCCGUAACUGACGCUGAGGAGCGAAAGCGUGGGGAGCGAACAGG
rnacentral:rRNA from 1 species